AAAAAAAGCAGAUGUGUAGCUCCUGGGUCAGAUGAUGAGGCACAAAAUUGCAUCUGUGAUGAGAAGUACACCAAGUCUGGGGUCAAGACUUGGAUGCUACCACAGAUCUUACCUCAGCCAUGGCAUUUAGCCUCUUGCUGUCUAAUUUCACCUCCUAUAAAAUGGAGCUAAUAAGCCACAUGUGGUGGCUCACGCCUAUAAUCUCGCUGAAGUGGGCAGAUCACUUGAGGUCAGGAGUUCAAGACCAGACUGGCCAACAUGGCAAAACCCCCUCUCUACUAAAAAUACAAAAAUUAGCCAAGCGUGGUGGUGCAUGCCUGUAAUCCCAGCUACUUGAGAGGCUGAGGCGGGAAGAUCACUUGAACCUGGGAGGUGAAGGUUGCAGUGAGCCAAGAUGGCACUACUGCACUCCAGCCUGGGUGAUAGAGCAAGACUGUCUCAAGAAAAAUAAAAAAAUAAAAUAAAAUAAAUGGGGCUAAUAGUACCUACCUCCCCUUCCUUCAGGCCAACAAGAGGUGGAUGAAGAUCUAACCCUGAGCUGAAAGGGAAUCUGCUGAACAGCAGGACUGAGGACUCAAAGACAGCAAGCAUUGUUUCCCAAACCAUCGAUUCCCGGAGCAAGCUUUGGGGCACACAAAGGCUGGCUGGCAUGAGGCACGUAGUCUGGACUGGGCAGACGUCUCCUCUGAAGACAUUGGAGGAAAGGGCCUUUUCCUCCUCAGCACUCAUCCUGAGAAAGGGAGAGGAAGGGGUGACUGUUCACACCUAGCAUAGAGAAAGACGUUCUCCUGAUGGCAGUGGCCGUGAUGCACACAUCUGCUCAAACCCUCCACUGGCUUCCUGCUCCUUCCGAAGAAAGCCAAAGGCCCUGUGUAGUGUGGACCCCGGCCUCUCUGACUUCACCUUCUACCCCCUUUACCUGCUCACUCCUCUCCAGCCAUUGGGACUUGGGUAUUCUCUAGUUCCCCUCCCUCCCGACUCAAUCCAUUGUCUGCUCUGUGCCAAGAAGCAGAUGCCUGUGGGCUCCAAGAACAGCUCCCCAGUGCACUGGCCAUCAACUGUGUUUAGCCAAUGGGAGGCACCAGCAGGAGGUCAGAGGGCAGAAGAAGGGAGAGUUCACAGCAGGAGUGACAGGUCCCUCUCCACAUGGCAGCGGCUGGGUACCCCACACUGCAGCCAAUCCUCCCCAGCCCUGGCAACACUGUACCACCCCCAUGAUCCAUGUUGGCUCCUUAACCUUCUCUGACACCUUCCCUAACACCUCUGUCCACAGUCUCUUCCUUAAACCUCCCUUCCUCAGCUGAGCCAUUAGACCCUGACUGAUGCACGGGCUCAUGACCCAUCUGGGUGUUUCGUAUGCCCUCUGCCUGCCUUAUUAUCUGGCUUCAAGUCCCAGCUCUUUUUUUAAUUAUUUUAUUUAUUUUUUUUUAUUUUUUUUUUCAUUUUUUUUUUAUUUUUUAUUUUUGAGAUAGGAUCUCACUCUCUCACCCAGGCUGGAGUGCAGUGGCACAAUCACGGCUCACUGCAGGCUUGACCUCCCAGGCUCAAGCCAUCCUUCCACUUCAGCCUUCUGGGCAGCUGGGACCACAAGUCUAUGCCACCAUGCCCGGCUAAUUUUUUUAUAAUUUUGGUAGAGGUAGGGUCUCCCUCUGUUGCCCAGGCUGGUCUCAAACUCCUCUCCUGAAGUGAUCCUAUUCCCCUUGGACUCCCAAAGUGCUGGAAUUACAGGCACGAGCCACUGCACCCAGCCCGCCUUUUAUUAUAUGGGUGACCUUGGGCCAAGUUAGUCAAUUUCUUGCCACAGCUCCUUCAUCUGUAAAAUGGGGUGAUGAUAAUAGGACAGUCACACGUUGCUUAAGGGUAGAGAUACAUUCUGAGAAAUGCGGCGUUAGGCAAUUUCGUUGUGCGAACAUUACAGAGGGAGUUUGUACAAAACUAGAUGACAGCCUACUCACUACACAUCUGGACUAUAUGGUACAGCCUACUGCUUCUAGGCUGCAGUCCUGAAUGGCAUGUUACUGUACUGAACAUCGGAGUCAACUUAAUACAAUGGUUGAAAGGUGUUGCAUGAAGCCUGCAGCCCGGCCAGAAAGACUUCAGCUGGAUGGAAGGCGAGCCCAUGGCCUCUUCUCUUGCAUGUGGUGUUCCCAGCCAGAGACCCAAGCGUCUAUCUCUACAGUCAGCCCACCCAUGGCCCUUCUCUGGGGACUAGGUGAUAAUUAUGGCUGAAGGGGCGUGGGGGUGUUUGUCAGUCAUGAACAAGAUUCCAAAGAGCGCUGCCACUUCCCAGACAAAUAACAGACCCUCAGGGGGCCUGGCUUAUGGUCCCAUGGGCUAGAAUCCAUAUCCUCAGGUGUGGGACAGGCCAGUGAAGUCCAACUGUAACCAGAACCACUCAUGUCCACUGCCCAUCACCUAGAGGAUUUCAUCACACCUGGCAUGGGUGUGAAAUGGGGAGUUUGAAAACAGAGAGCAGGUGGGGGACUCCCGGCCCAGCAGCCCCUCUCGGUGCAGUGCAGGCGCCAAGCGUGUGGACUCUGAAGCCAUAUGCCCAGGUAUGAAUCUAGGCUUUCUUGCUCGCUGACUGUGGGCCAAGUUUCUUAUUGUAAUACUCUGUGCCUCAGUCCUCUCCUCUGUAACAUGGAGACAACUGUGGAAACUAAAUGACGUAAUGCACUUAAAGCAGUGCCUGUAACACACUGUAAGCACUCUUUUACGUUCUUAUUUUAUUAUUAGCAGUCAGAGUUAUUGCCAUUACCUCCAGCCUCUGGAUCUGCCCAGUUCUGGCCAGCUCCAACAAGGACAUUCCAUUUUCUUCCACCAUGGAGGGGCUUCACUGCAGUCACUCCAAAAUUUAGACUACAUGGUUCAGCCUUGACCUAACCCUCUGCAGCCUGUAUACAAGCAUUUGCUCACCUUUCAUAGAAAAAAUAGCUAAUGCAUGCUGGGCUUAAUAACUAGGUGAUGGGUUGAUAGGUGCAGCAAACCACCAUGGCACACGUUUACCUAUGCAACAAAUCUGCACAUCCUGCACAUGUACCUCGGAAUGUAAAAUAAAAAUUAAAAUUAAUUUUAAAAAAAGAAUAUGUAUGAACCACCCACUGAGUGUCAGACAACACAGAGUUCAAGGACAAAGUCAGUUUCUUUUCUCUAGGGGAGGAGUCACACCAAAAUCAAAGAGCCAAAUAAUUUAAUAAAUUUUUUUUACAGACUAUGACUGGUGCCACAGUGAAAUUCAGCAGCAUCCAGUGAUGAGAAAUGGAGGUUAGGGAAUGAGUCUAUUAGAAGGGGUGGUCUGAGGAGGUGAUAUUGAAGUUAGGAUGAGAAUCAGCUUUUCAACAAGCUGGGGAAAAAGCAUUCUAGGAUCUGGGACCAGCAAGUGCAAAGGUCCUGUGGUGCCCAGGGAAGGGUGUCAGGGAACUGAUCAAAGACCAGGAUGUGGGGCUACAGAGGGAGGGACCACUUGAUGAGGCUGGAAGACACUAGUGUUCACAAAAUAACUCCGUGAAUACUAAACAAUCUUAGGCCUGCAUAGUCUAUCUAACAAAUGAAUUCUAUUUACCUCAUCCAAUUGUGUGUGAUUCCAACCUCUUCUUGACUACCUCUAGUGAUGGAGAACUCACUCACUGCAAUUUCAGAGAAUGCUCAUUCACUCGAUCAACAGGAACAGGCUGCUCAGGAUUUCAAAAAAGUCAGGAGAUACAAUGGGAAGCCUGGAGAUAGGGUUUUUGUGGAGGUUUUUUGUUUGUUUGUUUGUACUUUAAGUUCUGGGAUACAUGUACAGAACACGCAGGUUUGUUACAUAGAUAUGCGUGUGCCAUGGUGGUUUGCUGCACCCAUCAACCCAUCUUCUAGGUUUUAAGCCCCGCAUGCACUGGGUAUUUCUCCUAAUGCCAUCCCUCCCCUUGCCCCCCAUCCCCCAACAGGCCCCAGUGUGUGAUGUUCCCCUCCCUGUGUCCAUAUGUUCUCAUUGUUCAACUCCCACUUCUGAAUGAGAACAUGCUGUGUUUGGUUUUUCGUUCCUGUGUUAAUUUGCUGAGAAUGAUGGUUUCCAGCUUCAUCCAAGUCCCUGCAAAGGACAUGAAUGCAUUCUUUUUUAUGGCUGCAUAGUAUUCCAUGGUGUAUAUGUGCCACAUUUUCUUUAUCCAGUCUAUCAGUGAUGGGCAUUUGGGUUGGUUCCAGGUCUUUGCUAUUGUAAAAAGUGCUGCUAUAAACAUAUAUGUGCAUGUGUCUUUAUAGUAGAAUGAUUUAUAAUCUUUUGGGUAUAUACCCAGUAAUUGGAUUGCUGGGUCAAAUGGUAUUUCUGGUUCUAGAUCCUUGAGGAAUCACCCCACUGUCUUCCACAAUGGUUGAACUAAUUUACAUUCCCACCAACAGUGUAAAAGCGUCCCUAUUUCUCCACAUCCUCUCCAGCAUCUGUUGUUCCCUGACUUUUUAAUGAUCACCAUUCUAACUGGCAUGAGAUGGUAUCUCAUUGUGGUUUUGAUUGCAUUUCUCUAAUGACCAGUAAUGAUGAGUUGUUUUUUGUUUUCUGUUUUUCAUUUGUUUGUUGGCCAUAUAAAUGUCUUCUUUUGAGAAGUGUCUGUUCACAUCCUUUGCCCACUUUUUGAUGGGGUUUUUGUUUGUUUGUUUGUUUGUUUUUUCCCCUGUAAAUUUAAGUUCUUUGUAGAUUCUGAAUAUUAGCCAUUGGUCAGAUGGAUAGAUUGCAAAAAUUUUCUCCCAUUCUGUAGGUUCCUUGUUGACUCUGAUAGUAGUUUCUUUUGCUGUGCAGAAGCCCUUUAGUUUAAUUAGAUCCCAUUUGUCAAUUCUGGCUUUUGUUGCCAUUGCUUUUGGUGUUUUAGUCAUGAAGUCUUUGCCCAUGCCUAUGUCCUGAAUGGUGUUGCCUAGGUUUUCAUCUAGGGUUUUUAUGGUUUUAGGUCUUAUGUUUAAGCCUUUAAUCCAUCUUGAGUUAAUUUUUGUAUAAGGUAUAAGGAAGGGGUCCAGUUUCAGUUUUCUACAUAUGGCUAGCCGGUUUUCCUGACACCAUUAUUAAAUAGGGAAUUCUUUCCCCAUUGCUUGUUUUUGUCAGGUUUGUCAAAGUUCAGAUGGUUGUAGAUGUGUGGUAUUAUUUCUGAGGCCUCCAUUCUGUUCCAUUGGUCUAUAUCUCUGUUUUGGUACUAGUAUCAUGCUGUUUUGGCUACUGUAGCCUUGUGGUAUAGUUUGAAGUUUAAGGUUUUAAGCAGACUCAGUGAACUCUGCUAGUUAAUAAGUGUAGGUGAGGUUGUAAGCAGGCCACAGUGGAAGCAGAGGGCCCAAGUAGAAGAUAUUACCUAUGGGCAGGGAGGAACAAUGGUUCCUAUGGGAAGACUUUGCUUAAAGUGAGAUACAAGGUCGUCAACUUCAGUGUCACCUGUGAGCUUGUUAGAUCCAAUUCUCAGGCCUCAUCCUAAGUCUCUAGGGAGGGGUCCAGCUGUCUGGGUUUCAACAAGCCCUUCUGGUGAUUCUGACUACACUAAAAUUUGAAAAUCACUGGACUACAGGACUGAUAAUAUUAACUAGAAAACAAUGGUGUCCCCCAGGAAUGGCUUCAUAUCCCUCUGGAGCCAGGCAGAGCCAAUGCCCUCGGGCCAAGACAUUAAGAUCCAUAAGGCAGGCUUGUAAUCCCAGCACUUUGGGAGGCUGAGGCAGGUAGAUCGCUUGAGUCCAGGAGUUCAAGACCAGCCUGGGCAACAUGGUGAAACCUUGUCUCUACUAAAGAUACAAAAAUUAGCUGGGCAUCAUAGCAUGCACCUGUAGUCCCAACUACUCGGGUGGCUGAGGUGGGAGGAUUACUUAAGCCCAGGAAGCUGAGGUUGCAGUGAGAUUGUGCCACUGCACUCCAGCCUGGGCGACAGAGCAAGACCCUGUCUGGGAAAAAAAAAAAAAUCCAUAAAGCAGUUUUCAGAGAAGACUCUGUCCAUGGGAUUGAUGUUCACUUACCCCGGCUAGGACCGGGCGAGGCCAAGAUAGAGGGCAGGAGAGAGGAGCAGCUUCAACAUCUCUGCAGACACCAUCACUGCAGCCACAUUCCAGUUCCACAGAGGAAUGCAGACAAUCCUCACAAUCCCCAGGGCAGGGCAGGAGGUAGAGAGGAUUAUGAAAUGCCUGCUUGUUGACCAAAACCUACCUAGGGAAUCUCACCGAAUCCCUCAACAACCCAGAACAGUACUAUUCUGUUUACUCCCUUUGGCUCCAUAGGGCCCAACAGAUUAUGGCAAUCCAGAAAGGCUGAGACCAGAGCCCCAAGUGGCCAAGACAACAAGAAAGGAGCCAUAAUAGUGUUGCCCACUGUCCCCUCCUAUAUAUCUGGGGAGGUGGGGGGAGAUUCCUCUCAAAGGUUUCUUGUUUUGUUCCAGAAUGGUAAGAGAUACUACUGUUCAUUAAAUAACUCCAUGAAUAUCAGAUAAUCUCAGAGUUGGAUAACCUUUUACCCAAUACCUGAAUUCUAUUUACCUUAUCCAAUUGUGCAAGAAUUUUUUUUUUUUCUUUUGAAACAGAGUCUCACUCUGUCGCCCAGGCUGGAGUGGAGUGGUGCGAUCUCAGCUCACUGCAAGC
rnacentral:lncRNA from 1 species